rnacentral:rRNA from 1 species
CCUACGGGAGGCAGCAGUGGGGAAUCUUGCACAAUGGGGGAAACCCUGAUGCAGCGACGCCGCGUGAGUGAAGAAGUAUUUCGGUACGUAAAGCUCUAUCAGCAGGGAAGAAAAUGACGGUACCUGACUAAGAAGCCCCCGCUAACUACGUGCCAGCAGCCGCGGUAAUACGUAGGGGGCCAGCGUUAUCCGGAUUUACUGGGUGUAAAGGGAGCGUAGACGGCAGCGCAAGUCUGGAGUGAAAUCCCAUGGCUUAACCAUGGAACUGCUUUGGAAACUGUGCAGCUAGAGUGCAGGAGAGGUAAGCGGAAUGCCUAGUGUAGCGGUGAAAUGCGUAGAUAUUAGGAGGAACACCAGUGGCGAAGGCGGCUUACUGGACUGUAACUGACGUUGAGGCUCGAAAGCGUGGGGAGCAAACAGGAUUAGAUACCCUAGUAGUC